rnacentral:rRNA from 1 species
AGCGUUAUCCGGAUUUACUGGGCGUAAAGCGCGUGUAGGCGGUCUAGCAAGUUGGAUGUGAAAGCUCCCGGCUCAACCGGGAGAGGUCGUUCAAUACUGCUAGACUAGAGAGCGGUAGAGGGGGGUGGAAUUCCGGGUGUAGCGGUGAAAUGCGUAGAUAUCCGGAGGAACACCAGUGGCGAAGGCGGCCCCCUGGACCGUCUCUGACGCUCAGACGCGAAAGCUAGGGGAGCAAACGGGAUUAGAGACCCCGGUAGUCCUAGCCGUAAACGAUGUGGACUUGGCGUUGGUGGGUUAAAAUCCAUCAGUGCCGAAGCUAACGCGAUAAGUCCACCGCCUGAGGACUACGGCCGCAAGGCUAAAACUCAAAGGAAUUGACGGGACCCCGCACAAGCAGCGGAGCGUGUGGUUUAAUUCGAUGCAACACGAAGAACCUUACCAGGGCUUGACAUGCAGGUGGUAGGGAGCCGAAAGGUGACCGACCCUUCGGGGAGCCUGCACAGGUGCUGCAUGGCUGUCGUCAGCUCGUGUCGUGAGAUGUUCGGUUAAGUCCGCCAACGA